CAUGGUGGCGGGAGGCCGAAUUUGUGGGUAUGUAACUGAGAAGAAAAAACCCUUAGUGAAGACAGCAACAAUGGACAAUUUAAUCUUCAACGUUUCGGCUGGAGUCCGGCCUUCAUCAGGAAGCUGAAGAAGGCCGGAGCCCGGCCGAAACGUCGAAGAUUAAAUCCUCCGUUGUUGCUGUUUUAACUAAGGCUUUUUUUCUUCUCAGUUAU
rnacentral:SRP_RNA from 1 species